GUUGAAGAAGGGAAGAAAUUGAGGUGGUUUCAUGGGUAACUACAGGUUUAGGUUAUCUGAUAUGAUGCCCAAUGCUUGGUUUUACAAGCUCAAGGAAAUAGGCAGAACCAGAAACCACAACACUACUGCUACUACCACUCAUUCCACGAAGAAAAAACAACCAACAGCAACAUCAGUAGCUGCUGCAGCUUCCCAGGCACAGCAAUCCAAAACAAAGCAACCCCACCAUCACCACCACCAAUACUCUUAUCCAAGAAAGUCUUACUACUUCACCAGAGAGCUUAUCCCAACUAACCCAAGAUUCCACAAUCCCACUAGCCCAAAAUCUACAGACUCCCAUUUCCAUGACCCACCAAAAAGAUCCUCCAAACAAAGACUACUCAAGAGAAGAGCUCUCAGGUCCUCCUCUCCCAAGCUUUUCACCUCCUCUGUUUCUGCUGGUUGCAGCUGCCGCGCUAACAUCUGGACUAA
rnacentral:misc_RNA from 1 species